rnacentral:misc_RNA from 1 species
GAAAUGCGAUAAGUAAUGUGAAUUGCAGAAUUCAGUGAAUCAUCGAAUCUUUGAACGCACAUUGCGCCCGCCAGUAUUCUGGCGGGCAUGCCUGUUCGAGCGUCAUUUCAACCAUCAAGCCCCCGGCUUGUGUUGGGGACCUGCGGCUGCCCGCAGGCCCUGAAAAACAGUGGCGGGCUCGCUGUCACACCGAGCGUAGUAGCAUACAUUCUCGCUCAGGGCGUGCUGCGGGUUCCGGCUGUUAAACGACCUUCAUAACCCAAGGUUGACCUCGGAUCAGGUAGGAAGACCCGCUGAACUUAAGC